rnacentral:rRNA from 1 species
UGAGGAAGGAGAAGUCGUAACAAGGUUUCCGUAGGUGAACCUGCGGAAGGAUCAUUGUCGUAUCCCGGCCCCAACGGCACACUCGCGAACUGUCCCAUCCCGUCCUCGGCAGGUAGGUAGGACGCCCCCGCGCGGGGCGCCGACCGACCGACCGGCGAACCUCUUCCGGCGCGGUCCGCGCCAAGGAACACCGACCGACGAGAACGCCCGCGCCGUCCUCGCUCCGUGCCUGGCCGCGCGGGCGCUCCCACGUACAGAAAUCUUAACGACUCCCGGCAACGGAUAUCUAGGCUCUCGCAUCGAUGAAGAACGUAGCGAAAUGCGAUACGUGGUGUGAAUUGCAGAAUCCCGUGAACCAUCGAAUCUUUGAACGCAAGUUGCGCCCGAGGCCGUCAGGCCGAGGGCACGCCUGCCUGGGCGUCACGCCCCGCGUCGCUCCCACUCCCCCCCCCGCCCCGCGCGGCGGCGGCCGUGGGACGCGGAGAUUGGCCUACCGUGCUGCGGCGCGGCGGGCCGAAGUGCUCGAACCCUUCCCCGUGCGUGGGACGAGAACACGGCGAGUGGUGGAUUGGAUCGGACCGACCGACUCAUCGUCGCCGCGCCCUUCUCGCCCCGCCGCCCGGCGGGCGGGAUUCACGAAACCCAGCCGCGAGCGGCCGUUCGGAGGCGCCGCGCGCCGCCGACGCCCGCUCCGACCGCGACCCCAGGUCAGGCGUGGCCCCCCGCUGAGUUUAAGCAUAUCAAUAACCGGAGGAA